rnacentral:lncRNA from 1 species
UCUGUUUUGAGAGGGCGAGGAAGAUGUUAACAAAGGCGGCGUCUGCCAGAUGAGAUUCAUUGCAGAAUCUUUGUUAGGCCGUGUUUAGUUUGGCGAAUUUGGGGGUGCUAAAUUACUGUUACAGCACUGUAGCACACUGUAGCGUUUCGUUUGUAUUUGUGAAUUAUUGUCCAAAUAUUGACUAAUUAGGCUCAAAAGAUUCGUCUCGCAAAGUACAACAAAACUGUGCAAUUAGUUUUUAAUUUCAUCUACAUUUAGUACUCCAUGCAUGUACCGCAAGUUUGAUGUGAUGGGGAAUCUUCUUUUUGCAUAGUGUCAAAGUUGGGAGUUGGGAGUAACUAAACAUGGCCUUAGAAAGAAGUGCGAUCUCACAACUUAAGCAGAUCCAGCAUGUACCACUCGCCAAUCAACCUCGGUUACCACAUCCACGAAAGAACGAGAUCUUAACUGUACGCGGAGUUAAUUCUCAACGAGUGGGGCUUUCAAAAAAAAAAUCUCAACGAGUGGGCUUGCGCUGACAGUUAUCUACAAAUCUAGUACACAGCUAAUCGAAAGACAACAGCCUCGACAUGCAAACAGUCACAUUAACAACCAACCAGAUCCAAGUCCGACCCUAAACAGAUGGCUGGCAGUUCUUUUUAAUGAACUCAAAUGCUUGCGCCUACGUUCUGUAACUGGGAGCUAACAUGUUUUCCUACCAAAAAAGGUUGCUCUGCAAGGUUUAAUUACCGGUCUCUCAGAUAAAAGAAUAAAGUCUGUUGGAUGAAUUUUCAGAGCAGC